UAAGAGAAUGAUAAUUAAAUCAGUUAACCUGAUUUAAAAAAGAAUUUUAAAUUAAAAAAGAAAUUAAAAAAGCUUUCCUUACUUCCUUCUCUUUUCACAAACCCUCCCUCUCUUAUGCGACAACAAACCCUAAAGGUACUUUCUUCUUCCUUUCUCUCCCGACGACGACGACGAAGCACAGUCUCACCAUAUCUUUCCCAAGGAUAGAGUUUUCAAGGGUCCUCUUCGCCGUUGCCGCCAUCUUCGCAUUCAGUCGUUGUAGCUUUCUCAUCAUCUUCAUCUAUCGACACUUCUUAACCUAUAGGUAUCUCUCUUUUUCUCAGUGUGUAGCUCCCAACUGUUUUUUAUUUCAAUUUUAUGUGUUGAUAUUGUUUUCUAAGCUUCGAUUUGUUUUCUCGUCUAUUUUAUAAUCUAGUUUAGGUUUAGUUUCAAUAAGCAGAGGCGUUUCUGUGCUGCAAUUUAACUUGUUGGGAAAAGAAGAUUUUUAAAAAAGAAAAUAAUAAUAAUACACUUAAAAAACUAAAUUUGAAACCAAAUUUCUUCAAGUCCUUUUCUUUCUUUCUUUGAUUAUUUACACAAAUGAAAAGAACAAGGUUAAUUCAGUUAUAACCAUCCCCUGUUACAUUAUAUGAUUUUCAAUUCAGUGCAAUGUUCAAUUUACAUUGCCAAAUCAAUUAAGAGUUGUUUGUGGGUGUCAAUUUACAUGUGCACUAUAUUAUGAGAGUACUUUUUACUACUCUGCUUUAUUGACUGCUAGGUGUGUUUUACAAGGUGUUAGAAGCUGCUAGAGUAGAUUGAGUUAGAGUGUGUCCUGUAUGUUUUACCACUGAGUAUUUGGUUGUUUAUUGUUUCAAGUUUAGAAGCAUCCUCUACAUUAUUGUUGAGUUCCCUUUUGGAAGUUCACAUUUCUAUUUACUUAACUUGACUCAGUUUGGAUUGCACCAAAAUUCUGGUGUUGUCGCAUUUACAUGGCUAUGUUAAGUACUUGCAGAUUCAAGUAAAUGCCCCUUUUAGGUCCUAAUGUUGUUAUUAAUUCCAAAUAGAUGCUCUGGAAAUUUCCUCCGGAUUCUAUCUUCCUCAUGACAACAUCUACAUUGAUUCAACACAGUAAACAAACUUUGUAUCUGUUAGAAGCCAGACAAGACAAGAACAAACAACCAUAUAUCAUACUCCACUCCUCAGGUGACGGUUCUAUUUUCGCAAUGUCUUUGUUUCUGCCGUACGUGUCAUUGGUUUUUAUGCAGGGACUGUUUUCUACUAGUUUUUCUAUUUCUACUUAUAUGGUGUGUAGUGCUUCUGUUGCUAUUUCGCCCUGUGGUAUAACACUAUGUGUCAAUUCUGUUUUUGCUCUUCUAGUAUAAUAGCUUUUGGGUUGUUUUACUUAUAUUUAGAGCAAGUCAGACUUUGGUUCUUAUUUUGUUUUGAUUGUAGCUUUUUGCAAUUAUCUAUGUACACCUUGUACUUGAUCAUUUGAGCAAUUGAUUACUUGAUCAUAUGAGCAAUUGAUAGUUAAAUUUAAGUGAAAUUUAAUUAAGGAAUGGCUAUUUAUCUUCUUGUGUUUAUGUGGGUUCUAUCUAAAGUGUUAAGUGAUUUUUUUGAUCUUGCAUGUAGGAUGAUGUUGGCGGUAUGAUUAAAUUUAAUGUUUGAAGAGAUCAGGAACUAUAGGCCUAUAAUGUUUGAAAUUUCAGGAUUUGAUUAGUGGAAGAAAUGGUUAGGAACCGCAUGCCUUAUAUGAGUCUAAAUAAGAAAUGAUGGAUUUUACUUCAAAAUAUAAUUGCUGAUAUAAGAUAAAAAGUUUCUGUUUUCUUGACUUUGAUCAUGUGAUUGAUGUUUGCUUAAAAUAUAUGUACCAAAUAUGUGUAUUUGUUGGUUGAUUAAUGAAUUAUAAGGAAAAGGAAUAAUUUCUAAGGAAACAGACACUUGAAAGAGUCUAAUGAUAUCUCAGUGUAACUAGUUUUGUAGCUACUGAUAUGCAUAUCUUAUUUAACUUGUAUAUACUUGCUAAUUUAUGAAAUAUAGUAUGCAUGACUUGAAUUGGUUACUUUUUAUGUUGUGGAUUAGUUGAACAAGGUCCCUUAUCACAUCUUGGUUUAAGUCUGCUACUUGUAUUGAUGAUGAAUUUGGUUGUUGAAAAUAUAUGUCUAAGUGGGAUUUGUUGGGUAGAAGCUUUUUCUGCAGUGAUGGCGCUUUGAUAUCUGGAGUCGCCUUGAAUAUCAUGUUCGGGAAGAAUUGAACAAAACAGCUCCUCGGACAAUGGUUGUCCUGCACAAAACACCUCCUCGGAUAAUAUGUUUCUUUACUACUAUCUAAGUUUCUAUAUUUACCAUUUAUUUAAUAUCUACUUCUUAGCUACUAAUUGAUUUCAUUGCUUGAUUAUUGCCAAAAAUAAGUAACACGAUCUAACGAUAUCUUUAGGAUGGCUCUGUUACAAAUGACGAAGUCAGAAAAGCAAUUCACGCGGUAGAGGAAAGUGUAGUCAAUAGUUGGGAUUUAUGCACAAAAUUUCCUUCGAUCAUGACACCGGAAGCACUAUAAAGUAAAUUUCAUUCAAGAGGAUAUUGAGCUCUUAUAUUCAUGAGAAACAAGAGAGGGGAAAAUUGUUUCAGGCUUGUAAUAAAUACCUACACCAACAAAACACUAUGAGAAGUGCAUAAGGGGCCAAAAAACAUCAUCAGGAGAGUACACAUCAAAAGAAACACCCCUUGUUGCCGAUAAAAUUGUAGUGCUGGUUUUUUCGUGACUAUUGGUUUGUUUCUCUGGCUGGGUUCGGACUUGCUCUUGGUGCUGAGUGCCUCACAGUUUAUUUCUGUGUUUUUUAAUUAAAAGGUCCGAGGACAUCCCUAUGGAAAUAUGGAGAGGAUUGAUUCAACCCAGCGAUUUUAAGAAUGGUCUCUCGAAACCAACUUAUGAGUUAACUGUUAAAGGAGGAGACAAAGUUAAGCAUACAAAUAGAAGGAAUCGAGGUUACAAGUAUAAAUUUGUAACUUUAUGGUUUAUAAUUGAUGAUUCUAGGUAUAUGAUAUUAACUCUACUAUUAUGGAAUGAUUUUAGUAUAUAUAAGUAUAAUUUAUGCUAUUAGGUGUAUGAUACUCUAUUAUUAUAGUACGAUGAUUUUAGUGUAUAAGUAUAAUUUUGUAACUUUAUGUUAUUAAUGGAUGAUUUUGGAUU